rnacentral:lncRNA from 1 species
GAGUAGCUGGGAUUACAGGCACCUGCCACCACACCUGGCUAAUUUUUGUAUUUUUAGUAGAGACAGGGUUUCACCAGUUGGUCAGGCUGGUCUCGAACUCCUGACCUUGUGAUCCACCCACCUCGGCCUCCCAAAGUGCUGGGAUUACAGGUGUGAGCGACCGCACCUGGUCUGAUUUACAUUUUUGGACCUGUGGUGUCACAAUUAUUUCAAUAUGAAAAGUAUCAUUAUGGAAGCCUCAGUGUGCUUUGGGAGCCUAGCAGAGGGCAGAUAAACUCUGUCCACAGAUAGGGGCUUUACUGAACCGGCCCUCAAAAGAAGAAUCGAAUUUUGCUUGUGAGAGAAAGGAUGUAGGAAUAUUUUAAGCAGAAGAUAUUGCUUGAGCGAAGGCCUGGCAACCCAGCAUGAGAGCCCAUGGUGUCCUGGAAAUAAAUUGGGAUGACUGAGGGGAGUGGUAGAGAGGAGAUGGAAUAUAAAUGUGUAUCCAUGCGAGCAGCACAUCAAAUAGCACCAGAGGAGCCAGCAAAGCUUUUUUAAACCAGAAAGAACAUGAAGAAAUUUAUAUUUUGGAAAGAUGGAUACAGUAUUUUGGAAAAGGAAUUUUGCAAGUCUUGAAAGUGGCUCUCAAAUGAUCUUUCACUGGAUUCUAAUUUAAAGUAAGUUACAUUUAAAUCUAAAGAAAGUAAGUUUUCUUUUUUAUACUUCUCUGUAUUGUCUACGCAUAACUUUGUAUUUUUUUUCUUUUCUCUUUUUCUUUUUUUUUUUUUUGAGACAGAGUCUAACUCUGUUGCCCAGGCUGGAGUGCAGUGGCAUGAUCUUGGCUCACUGCAACCUCUGCCUCCUGGGUUGAAGCAAUUCUCUGGCCUCAGCCUCCCUCUUUUUUUGAUCUGGGCGACACAACGAGAAUCUGUCUCAAAAAAAAAAAAAAAAAAGAAUCUCAGAAACAGACCGGCCAUGGUGGCUCACACUUGUAAUCCCACCACUUUGGGAGUCUGAGGCAGAAAGAUGCUUGAGCUCAAGCCAGGAGUUCAAUACCAGCCUGGGCAACAUAGUGAGACCUCUUCUCUACAAAACAAAACAAACAAACAAACAAAAACAAUUAGCCAGGCCUGGUGGCAUAACACCUGUAGUCCCUAGCAACUCAGUAGAAUGAGGCAGGAGAAUCGCUUAAGCCUGGGAGGUCAAGGCUACGGUGAGAUGUGAUCAUACCAUUGUACUCCAGCGACAGAGUGAGACACCCUCUCAAAAAAAAAAAAAAAAAAAAAAAAAA